CAAAGUCAUGGUUAAGUGGGAAACGAUGUGGGAAGGCCCAGACAGCCAGGAUGUUGGCUUAGAAGCAGCCAUCAUUUAAAGAAAGCGUAAUAGCUCACUGGUCGAGUCGGCCUGCGCGGAAGAUGUAACGGGGCUAAACCAUGCACCGAAGCUGCGGCAGCGACGCUGAUGCGUUGUUGGGUAGGGGAGCGUUCUGUAAGCCUGUGAAGGUGGCCUGUGAGGGUUGCUGGAGGUAUCAGAAGUGCGAAUGCUGACAUAAGUAACGAUAAAGCGGGUGAAAAGCCCGCUCGCCGGAAGACCAAGGGUUCCUGUCCAACGUUAAUCGGGGCAGGGUGAGUCGACCCCUAAGGCGAGGCCGAAAGGCGUAGUCGAUGGGAAACGGGUUAAUAUUCCCGUACUUGGUGUUACUGCGAAGGGGGGACGGAGAAGGCUAUGUUGGCCGGGCGACGGUUGUCCCGGUUUAAGCGUGUAGGUGUGUGUUCCAGGUAAAUCCGGUUCACUUUAACACUGAGGCGUGAUGACGAGGCACUACGGUGCUGAAGCAACAAAUGCCCUGCUUCCAGGAAAAGCCUCUAAGCAUCAGGUAACAUCAAAUCGUACCCCAAACCGACACAGGUGGUCAGGUAGAGAAUACCAAGGCGCUUGAGAGAACUCGGGUGAAGGAACUAGGCAAAAUGGUGCCGUAACUUCGGGAGAAGGCACGCUGACACGUAGGUGAAGUGAUUUACUCACGGAGCUGAAGUCAGUCGAAGAUACCAGCUGGCUGCAACUGUUUAUUAAAAACACAGCACUGUGCAAACACGAAAGUGGACGUAUACGGUGUGACGCCUGCCCGGUGCCGGAAGGUUAAUUGAUGGGGUCAGCGCAAGCGAAGCUCCUGAUCGAAGCCCCGGUAAACGGCGGCCGUAACUAUAACGGUCCUAAGGUAGCGAAAUUCCUUGUCGGGUAAGUUCCGACCUGCACGAAUGGCGUAAUGAUGGCCAGGCUGUCUCCACCCGAGACUCAGUGAAAUUGAACUCGCUGUGAAGAUGCAGUGUACCCGCGGCAAGACGGAAAGACCCCGUGAACCUUUACUAUAGCUUGACACUGAACAUUGAGCCUUGAUGUGUAGGAUAGGUGGGAGGCUUUGAAGUGUGGACGCCAGUCUGCAUGGAGCCGACCUUGAAAUACCACCCUUUAAUGUUUGAUGUUCUAACGUGGACCCGUAAUCCGGGUUGCGGACAGUGUCUGGUGGGUAGUUUGACUGGGGCGGUCUCCUCCUAAAGAGUAACGGAGGAGCACGAAGGUUGGCUAAUCCUGGUCGGACAUCAGGAGGUUAGUGCAAUGGCAUAAGCCAGCUUGACUGCGAGCGUGACGGCGCGAGCAGGUGCGAAAGCAGGUCAUAGUGAUCCGGUGGUUCUGAAUGGAAGGGCCAUCGCUCAACGGAUAAAAGGUACUCCGGGGAUAACAGGCUGAUACCGCCCAAGAGUUCAUAUCGACGGCGGUGUUUGGCACCUCGAUGUCGGCUCAUCACAUCCUGGGGCUGAAGUAGGUCCCAAGGGUAUGGCUGUUCGCCAUUUAAAGUGGUACGCGAGCUGGGUUUAGAACGUCGUGAGACAGUUCGGUCCCUAUCUGCCGUGGGCGCUGGAGAACUGAGGGGGGCUGCUCCUAGUACGAGAGGACCGGAGUGGACGCAUCACUGGUGUUCGGGUUGUCAUGCCAAUGGCACUGCCCGGUAGCUAAAUGCGGAAGAGAUAAGUGCUGAAAGCAUCUAAGCACGAAACUUGCCCCGAGAUGAGUUCUCCCUGAGACUU
rnacentral:rRNA from 1 species